AGCCGUACUGACGGUGGAAGUGCGCAAGCGCAGUUCCGGGCUCCCAGCGGCGGGUUCCUCUUUCCCGGGGUUUCCACCUUCCUGGCAUCUGGGCGCCGAGGCGUCGGCCUCUCUCCGCGGCUCGCGUCGUGCUCCGGACACUCACCCCCAGCACCCAGCCCCCAGCACCCGAGCCCUGCUGUGGGUCGCACUCCUCUUCCGGCAACACACCCAUGGCGGAGCGUGGGGAACUCGACCUGACCGGUGCCAAGCAGAACACCGGAGUGUGGCUGGUCAAGGUUCCUAAAUAUUUGUCACAGCAGUGGGCUAAAGCCCCUGGAAGAGGUGAAGUCGGGAAACUGCGGAUUGCUAAGAAUCAAGGAAGGACUGAGGUGUCAUUUACUUUGAAUGAGGAUCUUGCAAAUAUUCAUGAUAUUGGUGGAAAACCAGCUUCAGUCAGCGCUCCUAGAGAACACCCAUUUGUCUUGCAAAGUGUUGGAGGACAAACAUUAACAGUAUUUACUGAGAGCUCUGCAGAUAAGCUUUCAUUGGAAGGAAUAGUGGUACAAAGAGCUGAAUGCCGACCUGCUGCAAGUGAAAACUACAUGAGAUUAAAGAGACUGCAAAUAGAAGAAUCUUCUAAACCCGUACGGCUAUCACAACAACUGGAUAAAGUUGUGACAACCAAUUACAAACCUGUUGCCAAUCAUCAAUACAAUAUUGAAUAUGAAAGGAAAAAGAAAGAAGAUGGAAAACGAGCUCGAGCUGAUAAACAGUAUGUUUUAGACAUGCUAUUUUCGGCUUUUGAGAAACAUCAGUAUUAUAAUCUUAAGGACUUGGUGGACAUCACAAAACAGCCUGUGGUCUACCUGACGGAAAUCUUAAAAGAAAUUGGUAUUCAGAAUGUGAAAGGGAUCCACAAAAACACAUGGGAGCUGAAGCCAGAGUAUAGACAUUAUCAAGGAGAAGAAAAGAGUGAUUAAGAAGACUCCAAGCCAGCAUGCUAACAGAACAACUAAGGGUGAUGUGUUAAGCAUACGGCAUUGAUACUUGAACUUGAGCACCAUGUGUUAUAGGGGCAAAAUGACUGAAACUUUAAUUUCUCUAGAGAUUCAUCUGAAAGUCUACAGACCUCAGCCUGCAAGCUUAGUGUAUUGAAAUGAAAACACCUCUGCUUUGUGGAUGUCUCAAGGAGCAUGCAGUUGAAAAUGGAUACCAAGGAAUCGACUGGGAGAGGACAGAAGAGAAAAACAAGAUUAUUUUAACCUGCGCUGAGAACUCGGAAUGAAUCCACGCUGACACUGACCUGGACCCCUUGUGAGAAGCCCCUGCCCUCAUCUGAAGCCCAACGGUGAAAUAGCCAAAACUAUUAACAGGGAUGAAAAAACUCAGGACCUAGGAAAACCAAUAUUGGCUAAUGACAGUUGUUUUUAUCAAACAGACCAAAUGGUAACUCCAGUUUGGGAUAAAACAAAGGUAAAUAUUGACUGGUCCUGAAGCCCUUGCUAACUGGUUUAGAACCCUGUGUGUUCAGGUGCCCCAAGACCAGAUCUCCCUCCCCCCUUCCCCCUUGCACCCACCCACCCCAGGGCCAUCAGAGCAGGCAAGAGUUCUGUCCACCCCUGCAUAGCCAGCCCUGUAUCCCCCUUCUCCCCCCCACAUCCUGGUUUUCCUGAUUAGGUCCCUCCUUAGGCUGAGUGUCCCAGUGUAAACUGAGAGGAAGGAGUACUUUUGCCAUGAGCAUGAAGUUACCCUUGAAAAUACCAGUCCUGUCAUUUGGGGUUUUAGGUCUCUAGGUUCUUUCUCUUACAAGGUCUACUCCAAUUUCCUUGCCCUUCAAGGUUCAGCUUCUACGUUUGAGAAGAUGAGAACACAAAGAAUAGAUGGAGAAAACACUUUUUCAUGGUCACUCCUUGGAAGAUAGGCACUUUGAAUCAUACCUUAAGUCC